UGUAGAGAUUGGAUGUUGUUCCUUGAUAAUGAUUUCGAUUUCAACAACAAGUGUAAUUUCUUUGAUUAAAAAAGUGAAUGUGAGUAAACAUGUCAGGAGCUCAAGUAGAUGUCUGCAUAUGGGAUUACCAACAAGGUGGCAAAAACUCUCACCUCAAAGCUAAAAAACUCAUUGACGAAAUCCGUUAUUGGUUCACUCAAUCCAAUGAGCCACUUCAUAUCGAUGACUUGAAAACCCUAAUCUAUGAAGGCAUGGUUGCUGCUUUCGAUCUAAAGAUUUGUGAUGGAAGCAUUGGAGAUGUGAAACAGUACAUGAUUACGCAAUGUUGGAAGGGAGGCAAAUUAAUGCCUCUAAUAGGGAUUUGAGCUAUAGCCCUACACAGUCUAAGUUAGCAAUGAUAAUGUCCCUGCCUGCACAAGAGGCAGCCACAUAUUCUGCUCAAGCAUUUUCUGAAGUGAAAGCCAUCCUAGAGGAAGUUGAAGAAGCAACAGAGGAAGGCUGAGGCUUCACUAUACUAUGUCUUAUUAUUGUCUAGAUAUUGAGCAACAUAUCUAUACAUAUCCCAUCAUCAUACACUGUGCUAAGAGAAACCGAGAUAUUGGCCUAAGGUCUGACUAGAGGAGAGGAUAACGGAAUCAUACAUGAUUUCAAGUGACAUCAGACAUUUGAAGUGUUCAAGAAGCUGUUCAGCCGCCAUUGCUGUCUUUUUGGCUAAAAGAUAUCUAAACCUAAUCUUUGAGUUUGAAUGGCACCAUCGAUCUCGUUUGUUGGUUCCAUAAAAACGAUGUUUCGAAUGAUCAAAAGGAAGAAGAAAGUCUUUCAGCGGAGGGAAAAGAAAGUCUACUUUGUGGGAUGUUAAGUCAGAAGUUCAAAAGGGUGGCUCCAUAAAAAUGGAACUCAAAAAUUUUAUUUAUUGAUAUUGAUCAUGUUUCAAAUUAUCUUUUACAUAGCUUUUGAUUCGGUUUAUUUCAUUUAUGAAUUCAAAUUAUACCGUUGAUUUUGUUUUUCUUUUCAAAUUGGCUAGUAAUUGUAAUGUCUACUAAUUAUAUGGUCUAAAC